GCCUCGGUAGCUCAGUGGUAGAGCGUGGGAUUGCAGUUUCAAACGAAUAUGCAAUUCAUCCUAAGGUCCUGCGUUCGACUCGCAGUCUGGGCU